rnacentral:rRNA from 1 species
AGAGUUUGAUCAUGGCUCAGGAUGAACGCUGGCGGCGUGCCUAACACAUGCAAGUCGAACGGAUAUAUGUAAGCGGGCUUGCCUGCGAGCAUAUGUUAGUGGCGGACGGUGAGUAACGCGUGGGCAACCUGCCCCAUACCGGGGGAUACCACCUGGAAACAGGUGCUAAUACCGCAUAAGCGCACAUUGCCGCAUGGCAGAGUGUGAAAAACUCCGGUGGUAUGGGAUGGGCCCGCGUCUGAUUAGCCAGUUGGCGGGGUAGCGGCCCACCAAAGCGACGAUCAGUAGCCGGCCUGAGAGGGCGGACGGCCACAUUGGGACUGAGACACGGCCCAAACUCCUACGGGAGGCAGCAGUGGGGAAUAUUGCACAAUGGGGGGAACCCUGAUGCAGCGACGCCGCGUGAGUGAAGAAGUAUUUCGGUAUGUAAAGCUCUAUCAGCAGGGAAGAAAGAGACGGUACCUGACUAAGAAGCCCCGGCUAACUACGUGCCAGCAGCCGCGGUAAUACGUAGGGGGCAAGCGUUAUCCGGAUUUACUGGGUGUAAAGGGAGCGUAGACGGUAAAGCAAGUCUGAAGUGAAAACCCAGGGCCCAACCGUGGGAUUGCUUUGGAAACUGUUGUACUGGAGUACGGGAGGGGCAGGCGGAAUUCCUAGUGUAGCGGUGAAAUGCGUAGAUAUUAGGAGGAACACCGGCGGCGAAGGCGGCCUGCUGGACCGUAACUGACGUUGAGGCUCGAAGGCGUGGGGAGCAAACAGGAUUAGAUACCCUGGUAGUCCACGCAGUAAACGAUAAUUAC